rnacentral:tRNA from 1 species
CCUGAUGGCUCAGAUGGUAAAGUGCCUGCCUGCAAUGCAGGAGGCCCGGGUUCAAUUCCUGGGUCAGGA